GAUGAACGCUAGCGGCAGGCCUAAUACAUGCAAGUCGGACGGGAUUGAGGAGCUUGCUUCUCAUGAGAGUGGCGCACGGGUGCGUAACACGUAUGUAACCUACCUUAAUCAGGGGGAUAGCCUCUCGAAAGAGAGAUUAACACCGCAUAACAUUAUUGGAUAGCAUUAUUUAAUAAUCAAAUAUUUAUAGGAUUAAGAUGGGCAUGCGGAACAUUAGCUAGUUGGUAAGGUAACGGCUUACCAAGGCUACGAUGUUUAGGGGAUCUGAGAGGAUGACCCCCCACACUGGUACUGAGACACGGACCAGACUCCUACGGGAGGCAGCAGUAAGGAAUAUUGGUCAAUGGGCGCAAGCUUGAACCAGCCAUGCCGCGUGCAGGAAGACGGCCCUACGGGUUGUAAACUGCUUUUGUACCGGAAUAAACCCUUUUACGUGUAAGAGGCUGAAUGUACGGUAAGAAUAAGGAUCGGCUAACUCCGUGCCAGCCGCCGCAGUAA
rnacentral:rRNA from 1 species